CCUACGGGAGGCAGCAGUGAGGAAUAUUGGUCAAUGGCCGGAAGGCUGAACCAGCCAUGCCGCGUGAAGGUCAGUGCCCUAUGGGCGUUAAACUUCUUUUGUGCGGGAGCAAUAAUGGUCACGUGUGGCCAGACGAGAGUACCGUACGAAUAAGCAUCGGCUAACUCCGUGCCAGCAGCCGCGGUAAUACGUAGGGAGCGAGCGUUGUCCGGAAUUACUGGGUGUAAAGGGAGCGUAGGCGGGCGAGAAAGUUGAAUGUUAAAUCUACCGGCUUAACUGGUAGCUGCGUUCAAAACUUCUUGUCUUGAGUGAAGUAGAGGCAGGCGGAAUUCCUAGUGUAGCGGUGAAAUGCGUAGAUAUUAGGAGGAACACCAGUGGCGAAGGCGGCCUGCUGGGCUUUAACUGACGCUGAGGCUCGAAAGCGUGGGGAGCAAACAGGAUUAGAUACCCCAGUAGUC
rnacentral:rRNA from 1 species